rnacentral:rRNA from 1 species
AGCGAACGCUGGCGGCAGGCCUAACACAUGCAAGUCGAACGAACUCUUCGGAGUUAGUGGCGGACGGGUUAGUAACCCGUGGGAACGUGCCUUUUGGUUCGGCAUAACUCAGGGAAACUUGUGAUAAUACCGAAUGUGCCCUUCGGGGGAAAGAUUUAUCGCCAUUAGAGCGGCCCGCGUCUGAUUAGCUAGUUGGCGAGGUAACGGCUCACUAAGGCGAGGAUCAGUAGCUGGUCUGAGAGGAUGACCAGCCACACUGGGACUGGGACACGGCCCAGAAUCCUACGGGAGGCAGCAGUGGGGAAUCUUGCGCAAUGGGCGAAAGCCUGACGCAGCCAUGCCGCUUGAAUGAUGAAGGUCUGAGGAUUGUAAAAUUCUUUCACCGGGGACGAUAAUGACGGUACCCGGAGAAAAAGCCCCGGCUAACUUCGUG